AACAUCCGACAGGGGAGCGCCUGAGACGGCGCUGAGAGUGCGGCUGGGAAUCCGGUUCCCAGGCCGCAGACCCUCGAACCUGAUCCGGGUCAUACCGGCGUAGGGAGUCAGCAUGAACAGCAC
rnacentral:ncRNA from 2 species